CCCUCAUGUUGAUGGUUGUGAUGAUAGGCUGGCUUUAAAUGAUAUAGAGUUGGCAACAUUUAAAUAGCCAGGAACGCUGGUGGGGGCAUGGAUCAUCCAGGUUCUGAUCUUCAGAUGACUGAGACAAAUCAUCCCCUUAAACGGUUCUGAUCUUCAGAUGACUGAGACAAAUCAUCCCCUUAAACGGUAUCACUGGCACUGCCCAUCAGAGGUAGUCAUUCAUACAGUCAUUCAACACAGAUACCGACAAAGACAUAGUUGGCAACACUGCCGGCACUGCUCACCUACGGGGACGAUCCCUGCUAUUUACAAGAAGACUUCUUCAACCACUGGUGGCUGCUCCGGCUAGCGCUAUUGCACAGCGCCUCCUCUCCGCUGCCUGCGGCUUCCAUCAUCCACGUGGAACCCCCUUCCUUCUGCCAGAGGACUUUCCCCGUUACUAACGGAUGCUCCGGCCAGCGAUACUAUACACCACCUUCCGCUAUCAACGGCUGUCAGCGGCAGCUCCGAAUAGUGUUAUCGGAUGGUGUUUCUCUCUCCUCCAUCUAAGUGGGCACUGUAAAGGAUUUCCACCAGCCCACGGGAGAUUAUAGGAACGUCUCUUGCAUUCCAUCUAAGGACACCUUUUAUUAUAAAGGAGCAGCCCCUGCCAGAGCAAUUGUGCCUUAUUUCCUCUCCCUCAUCAUCACAUCAGUGGGCUAUAGUGGACUCCACCGAGGACGCUCGGUGUCAUUAGCCCAGGAGAGGUAACUUUACAGUUUUAUAUCAAUUGUUAUUCAACCUGUUGCCGGGACUUCCACUAGUAUCUAUCAGCAAUUAAGUGCAUGUUGCCUCUGCACUUACACAAAGUUUGAAGUCUCUCUAUUGCUUACAUGGAGGGAAAAUCACUGGAGUGAUACAUUCUUAGUGAGCAGCUACAUUAAUGUUACUUUUCUAAACAGUAUUACCAAUUUAAAUACUAUAUAUAUAUAUAUAUAUAUAUAAACAGUAAAUUCAUCUUGUGGUUACUGUUUAUUGAAAAUAUGUACGGUGUCUCAGAGUAUAUAUAAUUUUAUAUUUAUUUAUGUAUUGUGCAUAUGUUUAUUUA